ACCUCUAUCCUCAUUGGAGGAGGUCAUCCAGGGCACAGGAUGGUGGGCUGACCCCGCCCUCCCCCGACGAGCUACACACGGGCAGUGGGAGGGACCACACUCUCUCCUCUGUUGUUGGAGUGACCUUCUGCCCAGUGCUCCGGGUAGGAGAUGGUUUCAGGGACUCGCCUUCAGAGAGUGACACGUUGUUGAGACCUACCAAACUGAGUAGGUGUCUGAACCCCAAUGAGGCCUCUCUAUAAGCUUUUAAGAUUUGGUGGACAGAUGUGGAGAUCUAUUCAUUGCACAGCCCCUUGGAGGCGAGACUUUUAAGUUUUCUGCCUUAUCCCACCUGCUGCCUCUCAAUGGAGCCUCUUGAUGGAGCCUCUCAAACGGAGCAUGGUCUCUCUCUCUUCUGUCUCUCCUUGACCUCUGUGGCCAGUGACCAGUUCAGAUUUCAUCCAGGAAAUUCCCAAGUAUAUGAACCAACACUUCUUCACCCAGAACUCUGCUUUAUUAUCUUCAAGGCAAGAAGUGGCAACAUGACAAUGGCCCUGAUGUUAGAGGACUUGAGUUGGUUCCUGAACAUGCUUCUCACUACCUGUGUACCUGGGGCAAGUCUUUUGGUCGCUGUCACUUUGGUUUCCUCAUCUGGCUAAUUGGGAGUACAGGGACAGUCACCUGGAAAGCCAAUGAAGAGCUCACACACUUCCAAGGGGCCUUCUGGCCGUGCUUGGUAAAGAGAGGCACUGGAACCG
ensembl:lncRNA